rnacentral:rRNA from 1 species
UACGUAGGGUCCGAGCGUUGUCCGGAAUUACUGGGCGUAAAGCGUGCGCAGGCGGCUUUGCAAGACAGAUGUGAAAUCCCCGGGCUCAACCUGGGAACUGCAUUUGUGACUGCAUGGCUUGAGUGCGGCAGAGGGGGAUGGAAUUCCGCGUGUAGCAGUGAAAUGCGUAGAUAUGCGGAGGAACACCGAUGGCGAAGGCAAUCCCCUGGGCCUGCACUGACGCUCAUGCACGAAAGCGUGGGGAGCAAACAGG